CCAGGAUAGCCCAGAGUCCCCAGAAAGAGUAAAGGGUAGGGAGCCCUGCAGCCUGGGCCCUCUUGGUCCCAAUCAUCUCCUUAAACUCCUAACUCCUGGCAGCCUUGGGUUGCUGGGAAGGCAAGGGCAGCCUUCCUGAUUGACAAACAAAACAAGCGUUGCUCACAAAAGGAUCAGGGAGGCUGGCUGGGCUUCUCUUCCCCUCCCCCUUCCCCAGGCAUCUCUGCUGCUCCACCCAGCUGGCACCUACAUUCUGAGACAGUGGAAGAGCUCUUAGCCAAUGUGGUGGAUCAGGCCACCUGGGUAGGAGCCCCUUGCCCUGGGAAGGUGGAUUCAAGAAACGGUAGAGUGGCCAGGAGGCAGGGCUUGCUGCAGUGGUCGCCCCUCCUUCCCAUCAGCUAGCUGGGCAGGCUGCUUGGAGAGGAAGCCCCAGCCGGCAGGAUCUCAUCUGGCCGCCGCGUUCUGAAAGAGGCCAGGGAUAGAGCGCGCGCGCGAGGAGAACAGAGACGGCGGGGAAAAGGGAGAAGGCGAGACGCGCAGCGCCGGCGCCCGGGAGACCCAGGAGGACCCCGCAGAUAACCAGCCCGAGUCAUGCAGUCUUUUAGAGAAAGGUGUGGUUUCCAUGGCAAACAACAGAACUACCCGCAGACCUCACAGGAAACAUCGCGCCUGGAGAAUUACAGGCAGCCGAGUCAGGCUGGGCUGAGCUGUGACCGGCAGCGGCUGCUUGCAAAGGACUAUUAUAACCCGCAGCAUUACCCAGGCUAUGAGGGUGGCACCAGCACACCCUCUGGCACAGGGGCUGUAGUGGCCACCGAGAAGUACCACCGAGGCAGCAAGGCCCUGCCCUCACAGCAGCCCCUGCAGGGGAGGUCAGCUUUCCCUGGCUAUGGCAGUGUCCAGGACAGCAGCCCUUACCCGGGACGGUACUCUGGCGAGGAGAGCCUGCAGGCCUGGGGUGCCCCACAGCCACCACCUCCUCAGCCACAGCCCCUGCCAGGGGGUGUGGGCAAGUAUGACGAGAACUUGAUGAAAAAGACCGCGGUGCCCCCUGGCAGGCAGUACGCAGAGCAGGGCACCCAGCUUCCCUUCCGGACUCACUCCCUGCAUGUCCAGCAGCCACCGCCACCGCCACCCCAGCAGCUGCCACAGCCCCAGCAGCCCCUGGUGUAUCCCAAACUUCAAAGGCAGAAACUACAGAAUGACAUUGCCUCACCCUUGCCUUUUCCCCAGGGUGGCCACUUCCCCCAGCACUCCCAGUCCUUUCCUGCCUCUUCUACUUACUCUUCCUCUGUCCAGGGUGGCACACAGGGGGCCCACUCUUACAAGAGUUGCACAGCACCAUCUACCCAGCCCCAUGACAGGCCGCUCACCGCCAAUGCCAGCCUGGCCCCAGGGCAGCGGGUCCCAAACCUUCAUGCCUAUCAGUCAGGCCGCCUUGGUUAUGACCAGCAACAGCAACAGCAGCAACAACAGCAGCAGCAGCAAACUCUUCAGAGCCGGCACCAUGCCCAGGAAACCCUCCAUUACCAAAACCUCGCUAAAUACCAACACUAUGGGCAGCAAGGCCAGGGCUACUGCCAGCCAGAUGCAGCUGUCAGAACGCCGGAGCAGUACUACCAAACCUUCAGUCCUAGCUCCAGCCACUCCCCUGCCCGCUCUGUGGGACGCUCACCAUCUUACAGCUCCACUCCAUCGCCCCUGAUGCCCAACCUGGAGAGCUUCCCGUACAGCCAGCAGCCGCUCAGCACUGGAGCCUUUCCCACAGGGGUCACUGACCACAGUCACUUCAUGCCCCUGCUCAACCCCUCCCCAACAGAUGCUGCCAGCUCUGUGGACACCCAGGCCAGCAACUGCAAGCCCAUGCAGAAAGACAAGAUCCCUGAAAACCUACUGUCAGACCUCAGCCUUCAGAGCCUCACGGCUCUGACCUCACAGGUAGAGAACAUCUCUAACACGGUGCAGCAGCUUCUGCUGUCCAAGGCGGCUGUACCACAGAAGAAAGGGGUCAAGAACCUCGUGUCUCGGACCCCUGAGCAGCACAAGAGCCAGCACUGCAGCCCUGAGGGCAGUGGCUACUCAGCCGAGCCGGCAGGCACACCACUGUCUGAGCCACUGAGCAGCACCCCACAGUCCACCCAUGCUGAGCCACAGGAGGCCGACUACCUGAGUGGCUCUGAGGACCCUCUGGAGAGAAGCUUCCUCUACUGCAGCCAGCCCCGAGGCAGCCCUGCCAGGGUCAACAGUAACUCAAAGGCCAAGCCUGAGUCUGUGUCCACCUGUUCUGUGACCUCACCCGAUGACAUGUCCACCAAAUCUGAUGAUUCCUUCCAGAGCUUGCACAGUACUCUGCCACUGGACAGCUUCUCCAAGUUCGUGACAGGUGAGCGGGACUGCCCACGGCUGCUGCUCAGUGCCCUGGCACAGGAGGACCUGGCCUCUGAGAUCUUGGGGCUGCAGGAAGCCAUUGGCGAGAAGGCUGACAAAGCCUGGGCUGAGGCACCCAGCUUGGCCAAGGACCCCAGCAAGGCUCCUUUCUCACUGGAGAACCACAGCACCUGCCUGGACUCUGUAGCCAAGAAUGCAUGGCCACGCCCUGGGGAGACGGAGAACCUGUCUGAUUCCUUGCAGCUGGACAAGGGUAGCAACACCAAAGACUUCAGCCCAGGGCUCUUUGAAGACCCUUCUGUGGCCUUUGCCAGCCCUGAUCUCAAGAAGUCAACUGCCCCCCUCUCCUUUGGCACCAAGCCCACCCUUGGGGCUCCCACUCCAGACCCCACAACAACAGCUUUUGACUGCUUUCCAGAUACAACUACUGCCAGCUCAGCAGACAGUGCCAACCCCUUUGCAUGGCCAGAGGAGAACCUGGGCGAUGCUUGUCCUCGGUGGGGACUGCACCCUGGUGAGCUUGCCAAAGGCCUGGAGCAGGGUGGAAAGGCCUCAGAUGGUGUGGGCAAAGGGGACAGCCACGAGGCUUCGGCCUGCCUGGGCUUCCAGGAAGAGGACCCCCCUCGGGAAAAGGCAGUUGCACUGCCCAGGGACUUCAAGCAGGAGGAGGCGGGUGGGGUGAAGGAGGAGGUGGGUGGGAUGUUACAGUGCCCCAAUGAUGUGAGUAAGGCUGACCGGUGGCUGGAGGACAGCCGGCACUGCUGCUCUGCUGCAGAUUUUGGGGACCUGCCACUGCUGCCGCCCCCAGGCAGAAAGGAGGACCUGGAGGCUGAGGAGGAGUACUCCUCCCUGUGUGAGCUACUGGGCAGCCCAGAGCAGAGGCCCAGCAUGCAGGACCCACUGUCGCCGAAGGCCCCCCUCAUCUGCACCAAGGAGGAAGUAGAAGAAGUAUUGGACUCCAAGGCCAGCUGGGGUUCCCCAUGCCACCUCUCUGGGGAGUCUGUCAUCUUGCUAGGCCCCACUGUGGGUGCUGAGUCGAAGGUCCAGAGCUGGUUUGAGUCUUCCCUGUCCCACAUGAAGCCAGGGGAAGAGGGUUCUGAGGGAGAGCGGGCUCCAGGCGAUUCCACCACCUCAGAAGCUUCCGUGGCCCAGAAGCCAAACAAGCCAGCAGUGCCUGAGGCACCCAUUGCUAAGAAAGAGCCUGUGCCCCGGGGCAAAAGUUUACGGAGCCGUCGGGUGCACCGGGGACUGCCUGAGGCUGAGGACUCCCCAUGCAGGGCACCAGUGCUGCCCAAAGACCUUUUGCUCCCUGAAUCCUGCACAGGGCCUCCCCAAGGACAGCUGGAAGGAGCUGGGGCCCCAGGCCGGGGCACCUCAGAAGGGAUCCCCAGGAUGUGUACACGCUCCCUCACAGCCCUGAGUGAACCCCGUACACCUGGACCCCCAGGCCUGACCACUACGCCUGCACACCCUGACAAACUGGGGGGCAAGCAGCGAGCUGCCUUCAAGUCAGGCAAGAGGGUAGGGAAACCUUCACCCAAGGCCGCAUCCAGCCCCAGCAACCCAGCUGCCCUGCCGGUGGCCUCAGACAGCAGCCCUAUGGGCUCCAAAACCAAGGAGACAGACUCGCCCAGUACUCCUAGCAAGGACCAGCGCUCCAUGAUCCUCCGGUCCCGCACGAAGCCCCAGGAGGUUUUCUACUCCAAGCGGCGGCGGCCUGCAGAGAGUCGGCUCCCAAACUGCCGCACCACCAAGAAGCUCCUUGCCAACAGCCACCUGCCCACCACGUUCAAGGUCUCCAGUAGCCCCCAGAAGGAGGGCAGGGUGAGCCAGCGAGCAAGGGUCCCCAAGCCCUGCACUGGGGGCAAGCUUUCUGAUCAGCCUCUCCACACACUCAAAAGGAAGUCUGCCUUCAUGGCACCAGUCCCCACCAAGAAGCGGAACCUGGUUUUACGGAGUAGCAGCAGCACUACCACCACCAGUAGCAAUGGGGGAGAUGGGAAGGAGGAGGGGGCCGAGGGCUCCUCUGCCCUCUUCAGGAGGGUGUCUUCUCCCAAAAAGACCAAGCCCAAGGGCAACAGCGAGCCCACCAUGAAACCCUCACCCCCCGAGAGCCCCGAUACCUGCAUCAAGCUCACCUCACGGGCAGCCUUCCAGGGGGCCAUGAAGACCAAGGUGCUCCCACCCCGGAAGGGUCGGGGCCUCAAGCUGGAGGCCAUCGUGCAGAAGAUCACCUCACCUGGCCUCAAGAAGUUCACAUGCAAAGUGCCAGGGGCCCCUCCAGGGACACCUCUGAGCCCAGCCCUCCCUGAGAAGGAUCGAGGUGGCCUCAAGAGUGCUGGGGGCAGCCCAGCAAGGGCAGAAGAAGGUCUGAUAAGCAUGGGUACUGGGCAGAAGCUCCCAGCAGCUUUGGGAGCUGACCCAUUAUGCAGAAAUCCAGCCAGCAGGUCCUUAAAAGGCAAACUUGUGAACAGUAAGAAACUGUCCUCUGCUGACUGUUUCAAAACUGAGGCCUUCACCUCCCCGGAGGCCCUACAGCCUGGGGCAACUGCCCUGGCGCCUAAGAAGAGGAGCCGGAAAGGCAGGGCUGGAGGCCUCGGACUCCCCAAAGGCCCCCUGGAGAAGCGGCCCUACCUUGGUCCAACUCUGCUCCUCAGUCCCAGAGACAGGGCCAGCAGCACACAGGGGGCUGGCGAGGACAACUCUGGUGGAGGCAAGAAGCCAAAGACAGAGGAGCUGGGCCUGGCUUCCCAGCCCUCUGAGGGCCGGUCCUGCCAGCCCCAGACAAGGGCACAGAAGCAGCCAGGCCAUGCCAACUACAGCAGCUAUUCCAAGCGGAAGCGCCUCACCCGGGGCCGGGCCAAAAACACCAAUACUUCACCCUGUAAGGGGCGUGCCAAGCGGAGGCGGCAGCAGCAGGUGCUCCCCCUGGAUCCUGCAGAGCCUGAAAUCCGCCUCAAGUACAUUUCCUCUUGCAAGCGACUGAGGGCAGACAGCCGGACCCCUGCCUUCUCGCCCUUUGUGCGGGUGGAGAAGCGAGAUGCAUUCACCACUGUAUGCACUGUUGUUAACUCCCCGGGGGAUGAGCCCAAGCCCCACAGGAAGCCUUCAUCCUCCACCUCCUCUUCCUCAUCUUCAUCCUCCUUCUUCUUGGAUGUGGCUGGGGCUUCCCUGACCACACUCCCUGGAGGUUCCAUCCUGCAGUCACGGCCCUCCCUGCCUCUCUCCUCUAUGAUGCACCUGGGGCCUGUGGUUUCCAAGGCCCUGAGUACCUCUUGCCUCGUUUGCUGCCUCUGCCAAAACCCAGCCAACUUCAAGGACCUCGGAGACCUCUGUGGACCCUACUACCCUGAACACUGCCUCCCCAAAAAGAAGCCAAAACUCAAGGAGAAGGUGCGUCCAGAAGGCACCUGUGAGGAGGCCCCGUUGCCCCUCGAGAGAACACUCAAGGGCCUUGAGUGUGUGGCUGCCACCCCUGCUGCUGCCGCCACUGGUUCCGGGAAACCCCCCAGACUUGAUGCCCCAGCUGACCCAGCCAAGCAGGGCUCACUGCGCACCAGUGCCCGUGGCCUGUCCCGGCGGCUGCAGAGUUGCUACUGUUGUGAUGGCCGGGGUGACGGGGGUGACGAGAUGGCACCAGUCGACAAGAGCCGCAAGCAUGAGUGCAGCAAGGAGGCCCCCUCAGAGCCUGUUGGGGACACCCAGGAGCACUGGGUACACGAGGCCUGUGCAGUGUGGACCGGCGGGGUCUACCUGGUGGCCGGGAAGCUCUUUGGGCUACAGGAGGCCAUGAAAGUGGCUGUGGACAUGGGGUUGCUGGGGGCCCCAGCACAGGUGAAGUGGAGAGAGGCCGUCAGCCGGAGGGGCCCCAGAGCUCCCCUUAAACGUCACAGCGCCCCAAGGUCCACUGUGGAUGAGAGACUCAUGCUUCAUCACCCCUUUUUGGACGUGUUCCAGCUGCCAGGAAGCCGGGGCCACCAUUGGGUGCUCCUACGAAGGAUGCGUCUACACCUACCACUACCCAUGUGCCAGUGAUGCAGGUUGCAUAUUCAUCGAAGAGAACUUUUCUUUGAAAUGUCCCAAACAUAAGAGGCUGCCGUUGUAAUGCACCAAACAGCCGGAGGAGCCGCCGGAGCCCGCCUGCCGCCCGCCGCCGAAGGAGAGGAGCCUCCUGGAGUUGCUCCUAGCGUGCGUCCAGAGCUGAUCCUUGAUCCGGGUGCCGGAUCUUGGAUCCGGCCACCGAGGGCCCAAGCGUGUGGCCCCGGGUUGGGGAGAAAACCUGUUCCGGAGUACCCUGCUCCCGGAACCGGACGGCACAGGGCUUUCUUGCCCACACCCCUGGAGCCAGGCUUGGAGAGGGGGAGGCGCGAAGCGGCCAGACUCCUCCAGGCACCCAGUCUCCGGCGGGAGUGGGAGAGGCUUUGGCCCGGGGACGCUUUUUUACCCCAGAAGUCCUAAGGAUGACCUGGCACACAUUCCUCGUGGGUGCUGCCACCACCCCAGUCGGUUGUGGCACGUGGCUGGGCGCCCUGGGGUCAGGGGUGGGGGUCCAGAUGACCCUGGAAGAGGCCGAGGGUGGCUCCUAGCUCCGUAGAUGAGGUGGGAGAACCGAGGCCUUUUAGGAGAGGGCCAGGUUGAUGGGGGGAGCGGGCCAGAGGCUUUGGAGCAAACCUUUCGGAACUUGUCCAAGCAUGCUUCCCACCCAGCCUUUGCCGAAGCUGCCGUGCGGCUCGGGCAAAUCUGGGGUAGAUGUGGGCCUACGCUCAGAGGACGCGGCUCCCUGGGUGCGGGCAGAAUGGGAGACCCUUUGGCUUCUGUCGUAACCUUCCCAGUUCUCCACCUCACCCCUGGAGCCCAGCCUGGAGCGAAGCAGAAAACACGUGACCGAACGGCCGCCCUGAAGAGCCCACCUCCGGCCGACGGACGCGCGGAUGGUGCCUCCGUGCACCAUCACUGGUCUCUAGGGAUUGCAGCGCCACUUGUCACGGGAGCAGGGACAGCGCUAGAUUCGUGUACAAAACCUGUGUACCCCUCUAUAUAUAUGUUACAUAGAAUGUAUAUAUGUUGGGAACAUGCUCGCUUCUCCCGUGUGUCGCCACCGUGCGUCGUGCGCCCCACAACCCAGAGCCCCACCCGGGCCCUUGCCGGGCAGGGAGCUACUGCGAUGCCCUUCCCUGUGCAGCCACCACCGGCUCGGGCCAGUCCGUCCGCCUGUCCGUCGUGUCCUCAGCUCUGUCCACGCUUCGAUAGGCCUGAGGCAGCCCCCUGCCCGGGGCUGCCCUAGCAACUUCCUGUACAUAUGACUGUAAAAUGGUAAACGUGUGUAUUAUACCUGGCCUCGUUAUAUAGUGUAUAUAUAUGUAUACAUAUACAUAUAUAUAAUAUAUAUGAAGACUGUAAAUGUUAAGACGACUAGUGUUCUUAUUAGUAUAUUGCUUCACACUGAAGAUUGUGUGUAUCGAGCUGUUUCUAAAAGAUGUUUAUUUUCCUUAAGAGUAAAAAAGUCAUUGCAUUCAGAAAAAAAAAAGUCAAUAAAGAAACGACAAUUGUU